CUUUGAAUGAAUGAGCAGUCGCAUUUAUUUUUAUUAAAUCUGAACUUGUCUUCCGAGAUAGCAGAAUUUAAUUUUAUGUUCUAAUACUACAUGUAAUAUUCCAACUUUUUUCCAGAUAAAGCUCUGGUUGCCCCAAAAAGGAGGUUGGACUAAAUUGAAUCUUCUGAUUCCAAUUUUAUGAACUGCAAUAAAAUCUCUCUAGGGUGCAGGAUUACAUCUGUGUUGAAGAAUGACUACAUUAAGACAAUUAUCAGACGCUCUUUAUGCUUCCAAAUUGGAGGCACUUUAUCUAUGCUGACACUAGGUGUACACAGUUUGAAAGGAAUAAAUGCACCCUCAGCCAGGGGAAAUGGAGAAACAAAAAGGCUGUACCUGGUGUAAGCCUUGCUGAUGGCAGAACAAGUGGGCCAAUUCUGUGUGUCACAGAAUUGCAGCGAUUCUGGUAGGAGAUUUUCACGACUUCAUAAGAACUUAAUAGUAAUCAAAGAGCUUUUCCUCCUUCUGUUAAAAAAGAAAAAGUAGGGGGCUGAGCGGAC
rnacentral:lncRNA from 1 species